rnacentral:rRNA from 1 species
GACGAACGCUGGCGGCGUGCUUAACACAUGCAAGUCGAACGGGAUCUAGUAAACGGAAGCCUCGGUGGAAGAUUACUAAUGAGAGUGGCGAACGGGUGAGUAACGCGUGAGCAACCUGCCUAUGACAGUGGGAUAGCCUCGGGAAACCGGGAUUAAUACCGCAUAAAAUCGUAGAAACACAUGUUUCAACGGUCAAAGAUUUAUCGGUCAUAGAUGGGCUCGCGUCUGAUUAGCUAGUUGGUGAGAUAACAGCCCACCAAGGCGACGAUCAGUAGCCGGUAUGAGAGGAAGGACGGACACACUGGAGCGGAGACACAGUCCAAACUCCUACGGGAUGCAGGAGAGGGGAAUAUUGCACAAUGGGGUAAAUCAUGAAGCAGCGACGCCGGGUGAACGAAGAAGGUAGUCGUAAAGUAAAGUUCUGUCCUAUGGGAAGAUAAUGACGGUACCAAAGAAGAAAGCUCCGGCUAAAUACGUG